AGCGUAGGAGACAAACGUUAUCCGGAGUUACUGGGCGUAAAGGGCGUGUAGGUGGUUGUGUAAGUCUGGCGUGAAAUUUUUCGGCUUAACCGGGAAAGGUCGUCGGAUACUGCAAAACUAGAGGACGGUAGAGGCGUGUGGAAUUCCGGGUGUAGUGGUGAAAUGCGUAGAGAUCCGGAGGAACACCAGUGGCGAAGGCGACACGCUGGGCCGUACCUGACACUGAUGCGCGACAGCAUGGGGAGCAAACAGG
rnacentral:rRNA from 1 species